rnacentral:lncRNA from 12 species
AUCCCUAAGUCAUCGAUUUUAUUACAAUAGUGUAGGCCAUUUCUGCAUGAACAUAAUAAAUUAAGGACCCCAUCAAUCAUGAAAAAUGCUUGACAUUCAUUUUGACUAAAUGUUGUCCUUAAAAUGUCUCUCAACCAACAUUCAGAGCAAACCCACACCUGUGCACUUUGCUCUCCUUGAGGUACACAACUCUGUAUACUGUAUGUUGUCCUAUAUAAAGCACAGCUCAAAGCCGCUCUCUUCACAACACUGCCUGUGUGAUGAGUUCUCACUGAUUGGCACUCAAGUUAAUAGAUACGUGACAAAAUGGCUGAUUGUUCAGCACUCUUCCAUGUGGUGUUUGUCUGCAAUAUUGUGAUUUUACUCUUCAGUGGGGUCCUGAACAUAAUUUUAUGUGACAGACUGAGGAGAAGAAAAUGUGAACCGUGUGCAGGUGCAGUACAUAUUUAAGUUGUUUUCAUUUUGUUUCCUGAAAUGGGGUAUUGUAAUGUUAUGUAGACAUUCAAUACAUGAUCUUUUUUUUGAUAGAGAGGGAGAGAGAAUGAUAGUGAGAUAGUUUAGCAAUGGCCAUUUAUUCAAAUAAUAUAUUUUUUAGUACCAUUGUUUUCUGUACCAUUAUUUUACUUUAUCCCAUUCUUUUUGAUUCUUGCAGCACAUCACAGGAGGCUUCACCUGGCUGUCCCUCCUCAACAAAACUCUGUGUCUGAUGUUAGUAGUAAUCUUGUAUUUCAUGACAACUAAUUUGUUUAAUUUAACAUUUGGUACUCAGCCAUAACCUUCAUAAAUGUAUAUUGAAAACAAAUUUGUCAUUUCCCUCAAAGGAUCAAGAGAGUGAGGUGAACUAUACCAUGCUGCAAUUCCCUGAAGACAACACAAAAACAGAGAGCUCAGAGAAGAGCAGAAAUGACACUGUCUAUUCCAGUCUUAAAUGCCAAAUCUCAAACAUCACUGAGGAAAACUAAAUCAGGAUUUUCAGGUGACUACUAUAGCUGUGGGCACAUUGGACAUAAAUAUAUACAUAACAUAAAUCAUAAAUGUGUUUAUGAUUUGGGCAUAAUUGCGAAUUACCAAAAAAAAAAAAAUUGACAAUAGGCAGAUGCAAAAAAUAUAUAUACUGUACAAUGCAAAGAUCAAAUACAACAGGAGAUAAAUUAUUCUUAUGUGCUCAUUUAUGUGCUCAUUCUCAUUUAUGUUAGAACAUACCAUACACCAAAUGAUAAAAUAAGAAUUUGUAAAAUUAUCUACUGAACGUGAAAAAAAAGUGAAAGUAACAUGACAUACAGCCAAGUAUGAUGACCCAUACUCAGAAUUCGUGCUCUGCAUUUAACCCAUCCAAAGUGCACACACACAGCAGUGAACGAACACACACACACACACACACACACGGAGCAGUGGGCAGCCAUUUAUGCUGCGGCGCCCGAGGAGCUGCUGGGGGUUCGGUGCCUUGCUCAAUUGCACCUCAGUCGUGGUAUUGCCAACCCGAGACUCGAACCAACAACCUUAGGGUUAGGAGUCAGACUCUCUAACCACUAGGCCAUGACUUCCCCACAUGAAUCCAUGUAGCCUACUACGGAAAAAGUAACAUUUGCAGAAAAAUUCUCUGACUAUACGAGAAAAUAUUCCAGCAUAUUCCAGCACACGAAAAAAGACAGAAACAGUAACGCAAGUAUUAGAAGAUUUAUUGGAAAAAGGUUAGUGUACUUUUUGCCAUUGUAUUUUUUUGGUGUGGUAGGGGCACUUUUUGCCUCAGAUAUCAUGGUUAUAAUGUCGGCAAACGAGAAAGCUUAUUUAAUAUGAAUAAUCAUUUUAUGUGUUUGUAUGUGGGCAUACAGUAGCCUACUAAUGUUAGUUGAUAUGUCCUCAAACACCAGACACAUCUUAAUAUUAUGAAGGGCGAACUUUAUUAAUGACAUAAGACUGUAUCAAAAACUGAUAUCGGUUUGUGUGGGGGGGGGACCACAGUAUUUUACUUUAAAACUCCCACAAAACACUUUUAAAUGGAUAAGAACAUCAGUGAAAUAACAUUGGUUUAAAAUCAGUCUUUUAUCCAUUCAUUGGAACAGAUUUGGAGAAAUUUAGCAUUAUAAAACUUGCUCACCAGUGGAUCUUCUGCAGAGAAUGGUUGCCAUCAGAAGUCCAAACAGUUGAUAGAAACAUCACAGUAACAGAGAUGACUCCUGUCUAUCAGUUAAUAUCUUGUGAAGUAAGAAAAAAAUCUAUCAUUGAGAUAUUUUAACUGUUGUUUCCGGCUAAAAUAUGAGUCCAUGUCCACAAUACAUCUUCCUACAAUGAAAAUGUCAUCUCAUCUGAAUCAGGAGCGGAAUAUGCACAGAUCAAGCACUGUUUACAAGCAAAAACAGUUUAUGGCUUUGAUGUGAGAGUUUUCCCUGAAGGAAAUGUUAUUAUGGAUUAUGGACUGGUAUAUGUGCCAGCAGUGUC